rnacentral:pre_miRNA from 7 species
UGUAAACAUCCCCGACUGGAAGCUGUAGCAGCUUGAGCUUUCAGUCAGAUGUUUGCU